UUGGUCUAAUGACUGCCAAUCAUUUGCCCC
rnacentral:piRNA from 1 species